CGGCACGUAGCGCAGCCUGGUAGCGCACCGUCAUGGGGUGUCGGGGGUCGGAGGUUCAAAUCCUCUCGUGCCGG
rnacentral:tRNA from 1 species